ACAGAGCGGUAAGCAGGGAAGGAAAGCAGAAAAGGGCAGACCAGCUACGCAGGCGGACCCUGGGGCGGAAGAGGUGGCGGUGCUGGGAGACAACGGGGAAGCCCCUCGGCCCGGCCCUGGCACGUAACAGGAGAUAGGAGGCUGGGCGCCAUGCGUGUGCGGUCGUAGGUCCGGAUCAGAGGCGCGGCAGCAGACGCGGGAGAAACGGCCAAGGGCGGUACCCGAGGAGCGGGCUCUGAGUGAACGGCGCCAACCCAGGCCCCGCCGAGCGCCCCUCUAGAGUGUGGCCGGCGACCGUCGGGGCCCUCCUCAGGCCUCUGCUGGGAAUGCCGGGACCGCCUCCUUCAUGCGCAGGCUCGUUGACCAGGAAGACGCGGGUAGGCGGAGUCGAGAACCGGAAGUGCCGGGGCGCUCCGGAAACCUUCCCCGGAAGCCCGCCAGCCGGAGCAGCCCUGAGGCCCCGCCCCUCGACGGAACGCUGGGUUGCUGGGCAACCGGCGCGGGCGCCGCGGGAGGGUUCGGCGGUGCCCAGAACUGUCCCUGUGUAGCCCCUACUUCCUGCCCUGGCAACUUCCCGGCCCGCCCGCCUCCCUUCUUGCCGCCCCUCCUCGCAUCACGGAAUCCCUGCCCUUGGCACUACGUGCACCUCUCCGGCUCCCACGACACUCUAGUGCCCACCUGCUUCGAAGCCAAGCUUCACCGAAAGGGAAGCGGGCCGACCCCGGGCGCGACCUCCACGUUGGCUGAGCGCGCCUCCCCGGCCAUGGCCACCUACACCUACACCAGCCGGCCCCGGGCCUUGCCCUCCCAGCGCCGCCGUUACCGGGACGACCUGAUGCAGCAAGCUGAAGAACCUGUGCAUUACGGAAACAUAAUGUAUGACAGAAGGGUAAUCCGAGGCAACACUUACGCUCUGCAGCCAGUACCCCUGCCUGGGCAGCCUGAUCCUAUAGAGAUUCAGAGACAGCAGCAGGCCAGGAGGAGGGCUUUUGCCAGAAAACGAGCCCAAGAACAGCUCAGACCACAUACGCCUGAACCCGUGGAAGGCAGAAAACAUGUGGAUGUGCAGACAGAAUUAUACCUUGAAGAAAUUGCUGACCGCAUAAUAGAAGUUGAUAUGGAGUGCCAAACAGAUGCAUUUUUGGACAGACCACCAACACCACUCUUUAUUCCUGCCAAAACUGGCAAAGAUGUGGCCACUGAAAUUCUAGAAGGAGAGCUGUUUGACUUUGAUCUUGAAGUUAAACCAAUGUUAGAAGUUUUGGUGGGGAAGACCAUCGAGCAGUCUCUUCUGGAAGUGAUGGAAGAAGAGGAGCUGGCAAACCUGCGGGCCAGUCAGUACGCGUAUGAAGAGCUCCGCAACAUUGAGCUUGCUGAAGUCCAGCGACUUGAAGAGCAGGAGAGACGACACCGAGAGGAAAAAGAACGUCGGAAGCAGCAGCAAUGGCAGGUGGUUCACAAGCAUAAUGAGACCUCGCAGAAGAUCGCUGCUCGAGCGUUUGCACAGCGUUACCUGGCCGACCUCCUCCCGUCAGUUUUUGACAGCCUUCGGGAUGGUGGCUACUUCUAUGAUCCCAUUGAAAGAGAUAUUGAGAUAGGAUUCCUCCCAUGGCUAAUGAAUGAAGUUGACAAAAGCAUGGAGUACAGCAUGGUGGGAAGAACAGUGCUUGACAUGUUGAUUCGUGAGGUGGUUGAGAGGAGACUGCAUCUCUAUGAGCAGAAGGAGGGCAGGCACGCCCCUGUGAGGCCUGAGUACGGGCUCGGCGGUCCCGGAGGAACGCGAGAGCCGCUGGUGGGUUUCGAAUCCCGGGAUCAGGGUGCAGCCCAGGCCCAGAGACCCCUUCCAGACAGAGACUCCCUACAGAGAACGGCGUACGACGCCAGGUACGUGGAUAGAGUGUCGUCCCGGGAAAGGAGGCCCGCGGAAGAAGAUGACGAACUGACAGAAAUGAGGAGAUCCUUUGAGAGGGAAGAGCUGUCGCAGUAGAGGGGAGCCUCACUGCCUGGAGCCAGUCAGCAGCCAGUCAGCGCUGCAGUCAGUCAGAUCUUUGUCCAAGAUCACUCAUCAUCCUUUGCAUCAAGAAGAUUUUGGCCACAACAUUUUGAAUCAUCUGUUUUCAUUUUUUGGAUGGAGGAAGAAGGGAUAAAUGAAAAUAUGAACAUUUCUAUUUUGUUGUUGGCUCAUCUCUUCAAUAUAAAUUAUUCAUAAAA